rnacentral:rRNA from 1 species
GAUAACAUUUGGAAACAGAUGCUAAUACCGCAUAAAUCCAAGAACCGCAUGGUUCUUGGCUGAAAGAUGGCGUAAGCUAUCGCUUUUGGAUGGACCCGCGGCGUAUUAGCUAGUUGGUGAGGUAACGGCUCACCAAGGCAAUGAUACGUAGCCGAACUGAGAGGUUGAUCGGCCACAUUGGGACUGAGACACGGCCCAAACUCCUACGGGAGGCAGCAGUAGGGAAUCUUCCACAAUGGACGCAAGUCUGAUGGAGCAACGCCGCGUGAGUGAAGAAGGCUUUCGGGUCGUAAAACUCUGUUGUUGGAGAAGAAUGGUCGGCAGAGUAACUGUUGUCGGCGUGACGGUAUCCAACCAGAAAGCCACGGCUAACUACGUGCCAGCAGCCGCGGUAAUACGUAGGUGGCAAGCGUUAUCCGGAUUUAUUGGGCGUAAAGCGAGCGCAGGCGGUUUUUUAAGUCUGAUGUGAAAGCCCUCGGCUUAACCGAGGAAGUGCAUCGGAAACUGGGAAACUUGAGUGCAGAAGAGGACAGUGGAACUCCAUGUGUAGCGGUGAAAUGCGUAGAUAUAUGGAAGAACACCAGUGGCGAAGGCGGCUGUCUGGUCUGUAACUGACGCUGAGGCUCGAAAGCAUGGGUAGCGAACAGGAUUAGAUACCCUGGUAGUCCAUGCCGUAAACGAUGAAUGCUAGGUGUUGGAGGGUUUCCGCCCUUCAGUGCCGCAGCUAACGCAUUAAGCAUUCCGCCUGGGGAGUACGACCGCAAGGUUGAAACUCAAAGGAAUUGACGGGGGCCCGCACAAGCGGUGGAGCAUGUGGUUUAAUUCGAAGCAACGCGAAGAACCUUACCAGGUCUUGACAUCUUUUGAUCACCUGAGAGAUCAGGUUUCCCCUUCGGGGGCAAAAUGACAGGUGGUGCAUGGUUGUCGUCAGCUCGUGUCGUGAGAUGUUGGGUUAAGUCCCGCAACGAGCGCAACCCUUAUGACUAGUUGCCAGCAUUUAGUUGGGCACUCUAGUAAG